UUGACGGGGCCCGCACAAGCGGUGGAGCAUGUGGUUUAAUUCGACGCAACGCGAAGAACCUUACCAGGGCUUGACAUCCCCUGACCGCGUAUGAAAGUACGUUUUCACCUUCGGGUGACAGGGAGACAGGUGGUGCAUGGUUGUCGUCAGCUCGUGUCGUGAGAUGUUGGGUUAAGUCCCGCAACGAGCGCAACCCCUACGUUUAGUUGCUAACGCGUGAAGGCGAGCACUCUAGACGAACUGCCGUUGACAAAACGGAGGAAGGUGGGAUGACGUCAAAUCAUCAUGCCCCUUAUGUUCUGGGCUACACACGUGCUACAAUGGCCGGUACAGACGGACGCAAAGCCGCGAGGUGGAGCAAAUCCUAAAAAGCCGGUCUCAGUUCGGAUUGCAGGCUGCAAUUCGCCUGCAUGAAGUCGGAAUCGCUAGUAAUCGCAGGUCAGCAUACUGCGGUGAAUACGUUCCCGGGCCUU
rnacentral:rRNA from 1 species